GAACAGAAAAAAUGGGACUUUGAGUUUCGUGCGGUUUUCAAAGGUUUCCGGUUUUCAGAAGGUCCGGUUUUCGGAAGUUACACUGUAAUAAUAAAACAGCAACAAAAUAAAAGCAGUAAACUUACAAAUAGAUUCUAGAUUCUAUUUUAUUUUUCUCUUUUACAUAUAUCUACACCAUGCCGAAAUCCAAACGUAAUAGAUCCUGACCUUGGCGGACCAGGUACAAAAAAGAAGGCACGCACUAACCAGUGCCGGCUGAUAACAACGACGUCGGGCUGAUAAGAACUCAGCCGCCGGCUUCAGCUAGUAUUUUGUUACAGACGUUAAACGCCGCAUGAGCAGUACCGGAUACAUACCAGCUCAAACUCCACUUUGUCAUGGCUGGAUGCGUCAUAGAAAUGCAUACUUUCUAAAAAGAUACAUUGAUCUACUUGUGGAAGAACAGAAAACAAUAUAUACAGACUAUACACUAUAUAGCUUAAAUUUUUGCUUCCGUUGCCGGAGCAAAGAAGUGUAAUAGAAUCUAGUGCAUUAACAUAAGAACAUUAGCUACAAGAUUUAUGACAUUUGUUGGCGUUUUUAACGCAUAAAAAUCCGCUCUGCUACCGUUUCCGGAGCAGAAUUUUAGGUACAAAGACUUAUAGAUUAUCAUCAUUGCAUUUAUUCAUAAAGUUAUUCAAAAUUAUGUAUUCACAGCCAUGGCCAAUAUAUGCCACUAUCUAAAAAUAAAUUUCAUCAAACUUUA
rnacentral:lncRNA from 1 species